rnacentral:rRNA from 1 species
AGUGAACGCUGGCGGUAGGCCUAACACAUGCAAGUCGAACGGCAGCACAGUAAGAGCUUGCUCUUACGGGUGGCGAGUGGCGGACGGGUGAGGAAUACAUCGGAAUCUACUUUUUCGUGGGGGAUAACGUAGGGAAACUUACGCUAAUACCGCAUACGACCUACGGGUGAAAGCAGGGGAUCUUCGGACCUUGCGCGAUUGAAUGAGCCGAUGUCGGAUUAGCUAGUUGGCGGGGUAAAGGCCCACCAAGGCGACGAUCCGUAGCUGGUCUGAGAGGAUGAUCAGCCACACUGGAACUGAGACACGGUCCAGACCCCUACGGGAGGCAGCAGUGGGGAAUAUUGGACAAUGGGCGCAAGCCUGAUCCAGCCAUACUGCGUGGGUGAAGAAGGCCUUCGGGUUGUAAAGCCCUUUUGUUGGGAAAGAAAAGCAGCAGGUUAAUACCCCGCUGUUCUGACGGUACCCAAAGAAUAAGCACCGGCUAACUUCGUG